UCGACGUCGUGAGGAAGGGGAACAUGAUGACGAUACAGAUAACGGUGAUAUCGUAAACAUUCUGACCACAAUAACUGUUAAUAACAAUAACAACAGUAGUAAACUGAUAAGCAACAACCCCAAUGGAAUGGAAUGAUGCGAUC
rnacentral:sRNA from 1 species